AAAAAUCAGACUGUAAACCCAAAUAGUUUUCUCCACCGGCGGCGAAUUCGUCAUCAAACCGGCAGCACCAGCAAAUUGAUUAAUGAAAUGCACGGAAUCGGCGGCAUCCAUUAUUGUCCGAUUUGGCCCCGUUCAGCUAAUUGAUUUUCCGGCCGACUAAUUUUGAGUGAGGUAAUUUUCCCCUAAUUUAUAUGAUCUGUAAAUUGAGUUACAGUGCUUUGACUCUGCGUAAUGAUAGCCCUAACUUCAAUCUCUUGUUUCUUUGUUCAACUAUUUAUUGUUCUAUAUACCUACCUAACCUAUCACCUUUUUGUGAGUUUCGUGCUUCAACUAUCAGUCAGUUUGUACUAAAAUACUCAUGGAUGUUAAGUUAGCCUUCACGGGGAACAAGUUAAUAUUUGGUUAUCUCAAUAUCGAUGUGUGUUUUGAUAAAAGGAUGGAUAGUUUAGAUAAGUAAAGAGAACCAUUGAUGAUUGAGGUGUGAAACUUACAAAAAAGUGAUGGUUUAGGUGUUCUUUUUUUACCAUUAACUCCACAAAAAAGGAAUAUUAGUAAUCAAAGUUUGAAACUUUCUACAACAGAAGAGCAGAAAUACAAUCAACAUAUGAGAAUAAAAUAAUUAUCAUUCUGUAUUGAGGUUUUAGCGCUUGGUGUAAAAGACUUCAAUCUGAAGUCAUUUUUGAAGUGCUUAGAUUGAGAUAUAGUUGAUUCAUUGAUUUUCCUACUAUUCAAAGCAACCGUUUUACCGCCCGGGAUCUAAGCAUUUGAAAUCUAUAUAGUUUCCAAAUCCAAAUCAGUCCAUUCACAACAGGUAAGAGUAAUUUUUUUUUUUGAUAACCAAGAAAUCUGUCUGUGACCCGCCCUUUGAAUCAAUCACGGCCUUCUAAACUCGGUGGAUAAUGAGUCCGCCCCUCUACCCUUCUCCACUUAAAUACUGGGCUUCGUUUUGCAUGGUGUGGGGUUUGAACCUGUGACCUAAGUCACAAUUCCUCCACCUUUUGCCACUCGAGCUAGGCUUUGGAGGCCGGGUAAGAGUAAAUUUAUAUAUCAUUUAUUAGAAAAAAAAUAAGGAUUAGUAUAUUAGAGAACUUCUUCCUUAUGUUCUUUAAUAUGAGUUACCUCAUGAGCUGGGAGGUUUUUAGAAACAGUCUCUCUAUUCCUAUGAGGUAGGGGCAAGGUCUGGGUACACUCUUCCCUGCCCACACCCCACCAUAUGGGAACUACACUGGGUAUGUUAUUUUUGUUGUUUUAUAUUAGAGAACGUGACAACUAACCACUCCAACUAUUGGUAUGGUUUCUGUUUUCUGAUUAUAGUUAAGUUGUUAAGGAUGAGAUUGUAGUUGAUGAAUUGGAACUUGCUAAUUUCAUUUUCUGGAAUAUACCAAACCAUUGAAACUGCAUUAUUUGAUUGGGAGAAAUCUUCAUAUAUUUCUCUUUCAAUUUGAAGGAAUCUCAAAAGUUAGAGACAAAACGGAGAUGUUGCAUGUUGAUUAGCAUUGGCAUUGUGAUCUGAUGAGGUACAUCAACUUAUUCAGAUCAUUGCUUUUCCCUAUUUUAGGACAAAUUUAUUAUAUAGCUUGUUUAGUCAUCUCAGUCCGUGUGUUGUAAAUAAAAUGUAGGAAAUCGUUGUAGAAUUAUUUUCUCCUAUUCAAAUUUUAAAUGGACUGAGAGAUCAUUUUCUCAUCUGAACUACGCAUAAACCAAAUACAAUAAUAGCAAUACGAAAUUCCAGCUAAUUCUGUUUGUUCUUCAAUCAAUAUAAUAGUACUCUUAAGGGGGACAUACUACUUGAUCGUUUACAUCAGAUUAACGAAUACAAAAUUAUAUAAACCAUCUUCUAAUCAUUGAUUAAGUGAUAUGGAUUCUUCCUCCUCAUCUUAGAUCCCAUUUCCAUUACUUUCUUUCUUCUCAUCAACAGACUUCACUUGAGUUAUUUCCACUUUCUUAGCCUUGUCCUCUUCCUUCUCUUUCAUCUUUUUGUGAAGAAAAUUAAUCAACCCUUUAAGUGAAUCUCCAACUUCAUGUUCCUUCAACAACUGCUCUGCUACUUCUGCUGGUGUCACAUUGGCUAUGUCAAUCAAUUCCUCAAUUUCUUUGAAAAAUUUAUGAUCUUUAAUCCCCAAGUAAUUGGCAGCAAGAAGUUUGAAGCCACACGGUGUGCAAUAUGCCAUGUGAAUGUGCACGUCCAUUCUGCCAGGUCGUCGCAGCAGUACAGGGUCGAGUUUUUCUAUGUGAUUAGUUGUAAAAAUUAUGAUUCUUUCAUUUCCAUAGCUCGUCAAUAAAAUUUAGUAAACCUGACAAGGUGAUCUGCAAUAAAAAAAAUAUAUUAGUAAAGGUGAAGUAUUACACACAACACACUACACUAAUACCAAAUCCAAAUAUUCCCGAUAAUUGACACUUAAUUUAUUCAAGAAUAUCACAAAUUAAUGGAGGGUGAAAUUAUUGUGGUUCCAUGUCAGUAGAAUUUGUAAAAAAAUAUCGACUAAUCCGUAGGCAAGGAUGCAUUAGAACAAUUGUUCAGAACCCCUUCAUACUCUUGUCAUGUCGAAAUACUGCACAAAAAGAGGAAUAGUAAAGAUAGGAAACAGAAAAUAUAAGACUAAUUUACUGUGCUUUCGGACUGAUGAAAAUCAUUUGAACGAACAUACAUAGCUCGAUUAAUCAAAUUAGCUUUCAAGUUAAUGGUACAAUCAAUGUCCUCAAUCACCAAAAUUGACUUAUUGGUUGUGGCAACCAACAACUUCCUUAAAUCUGAAUUCCUCGUCACUGCAGUCAACUCCAAAUCAUAUAAAUCGACGUUUAAAUAAUUCGCUAUUGCAGCUAUCAAACUAGAUUUCCCCGUCCCGGAGGACCAAACAACAAAUACCCUCUUUUCCAUGCCUUCCCUACUUUCCUGUAAUACUCUUUCCUCGUCAUGAAUCUCUCCAAAUCCUUCAAGAUCAUGUCUUUCUGGUCAUUGUCUCAAAAGUGGUGGGAUAAUUAAAAUUCACCGACUUCCACAUGUUAUGUAAACAAAUCAUCUUUCCUUGUUUUUCUUGUGAAAUGUUAACUCAAAGGAUCUUAUUACAAAUUUCUAAGCCGAAUCCAUGUCUCUGGGGUUGUAGAAGUGUUUAGACUCUACUUGUCUACAGAGCCAAAUCCACUUGAAUGACUGUCCAUUAUAAACAUCUAUCACCUGCUGGAAUAAAACCUUAAGAUUAGAAAAUAGCAUCAUCUUCAAAAGAUUUAUUAUGUUAAAUUAUUACGAAGGCAAAUUAAAUGUGGAAGCUUACCUGAGUACCCAUGCAUAUAGAACAAUUUUUCAAAUCAAGACGUGAAUUUUAAGGGAAGUGAUAUUCACUUUUCUAAUGGUGGACGGUUAGAAAAAAUUUCAUAUGUCUAAUCUGGAGACCAUAACCCUAUUUAUAAUUACAAAUAGUUUGUUUGUUUCUAUUUUGUUUGGUUUAUCAUUAAAUUAGAAGUUGUAUCAGCAUAUCUACACAUAAAAACACAUACUUUAUGAUUUUUCUUACGAACACUUAACUUUUUGCAUUAAGUUGACUACCUAAUUACUUGUAUUCUAUGUUGCUCGGACCCUAAAAAUUGUGGUUAUAUACGUGUCAGAUUCUCCAAAAGUGCAUAGCAUUAGAAGGAUCCAAUAUUUUCACUCGACAAUCACUACAAAAAAACUGAAAUUUGCUACAAAUUUUAUUGCUUAUUCGUUGCUAAAUAGCUCAUAGCUAACACAAGUUUUGGAUAAUCUGUGGUGACAUAUAUUGUUGUUAAGCUACAAAAUUUGUCCACCACUAAUCCAUAUAUUCUUAGUAGUAAGUAUCUUUUUAGAGUCCAAGCAACAUAACUUUUAGUUUGAUCUAAAACUUUUAUUAUAACAAAUAAUAUAACAUGCAAUUAUCAUUAUUUUUUUAUUUUUUUUUUGAUAACCGAGAAAUCCGUCUGUGACCCGCCCUUUGGACCAAUCACAGCCUUCCAAACUCGGUGGAUAAUGGGCCCGCCCCUCUACCCUUCUCCACUUAAAUACCGGGCUUCGCUUUGCAUGGUGUGGGGCUUGAACCUGCGACCUAAGUCACAGAUCCUCCACCUUUUGCCACUUGAGCUAGGCCUUGGGGGCGCAAUUAUCAUUAUAUAUAUAGAUGUGUGUUUGUGUGUGCAAAUAAUUACCUCCUCAUUACGUUCCAUGGCGAUGUUAAAAAUUUUCUCCUUCUCGGUCUUACUGAUUUUAAGUCUAUGGAUUUGAGGGGACAACUUGUUGGCCAAAUAAGUCGCUGCAGCUUCAUAAAUUUUGUUGUUGACGAGGCCAUCAAAUUCGUCAAUCACCAUCGUUAGCUGAUUUGAGAACUUGGUGAACAUGUUUUUGAGUCCAAAGAAGAGAUAUGCAUGCAGUUCCUUGGGGAUGUAGUUGUGGAUUAUCGUAUGAACCAACAUGACUGUUGCAGCAACUGAGCCUACUCUCGAUAAAUCUGUCUUGGCAAGGGUUAUUUUCGAUUCUGCUGAUGAAGAGGGCAUGCUUCUUAAGGGCUUUUUGGCUAGUGGGUGUGUAACAAGUAAAUUUUUAUUCCUGAAAAUGUAAUAAUCAAGACAAAAAAAUAGCGACAAAUAUUUAAUAUUUGAUUUCAAUAAUGUGCGUGGAUCACAAUCUUUAUGAAAUCUUAAAUAUAAAGACGUAAUCCUUUUAUUGUUAUCAUCAUGACCAGUAUUUUG
rnacentral:lncRNA from 1 species